rnacentral:lncRNA from 1 species
GCGAGCAACUUUAUUUACCUGCUGCAACAUGGCGACUUCUUGGAUGAAAAAUGCUUUUGAACGUUUCCUUUACUUCUUAUUUCAACUUUACUACCUAUAAGGGUAGACUGAUUUGUCAAUUCUAUGAAGCUCAAGUCAUGGAUCGAGGCUACUUAUUUAUCUUCAAGUCUUGCCCGACAAGUUUCGAGGACGGACCGUUGUCAAGAUGAAAUGAAAUAUGAACGUUGUGGUUUGUGCGUAUGUCAGUUUUGAUUACAACUACCCUCGUGUAUUCUCUGGUAAAUACAAAAGUACGUUUAUCAGUGCACAAACUCAGACGACUCGACCAAAGGUCGCUUCGCAGAUGGAGGCGAAACAUGAUGAUGUCCCACGAUUUCUCAAGGACGCACGUGCAAACACACUCAGGACAAAAGCUUACUUGAGCCACUGGGAAUGCUAAUCGUUGAAAAGCCACAGCGAAUUCAUAAUUGGCCUUAUCAACUCGCACUAGUUACUCGGAGAGGCCUUUGCUUGAUGCUACAAACCCACAUAAACUUUGUGAUACAAGAGAACGGAAGGAAUAUUCACUUCCGGGUGCGUGGCUUAAAAUGGCAACGAUCUGCUCUGUCUGGGACCUCUUGGUUGUUACACACGUACACACAGAAGGAAUUUAUCGAUUAUAAAUUAUGCUUACUGUGUUGAUACCGUUUUAAACUGAGAGAUUGUGCUUAAAUAUCGUAGUUCGACGUGUUCGUCAGUUACGAAUGCUGUCGUCGAGUUACAUGGCGUAGUAAUUUCUCUCCUUUCCUAAGGUGUUAACUUAUGACUAAAGACAAGUUUCUUUGACUCAUUGUUCUCCAACUAUUUCUACCGUUUGAUGUUUUAGAGACGGAUGAAUAUCGAUCGUUCUUCAAUUUUAUCUCUUUAUCUCAGGCCACGGGUACUUGUGAAAUGCCGAAUAGAGCACCAGUUACUCAGUAUUGGUUACUCAGUAUUUGUCACAUAACAUACGGCUUCGUCGAACUGCUUUUGCUGUAAACGCUGUUCUUUCGGUGACAUACUUUGUUGUGGCGCUGGAUUCUUUUCUAAUCUUUUAGGCUACUCAUUUUACAAAAGGUCCACAAGACACUUACAUCCCCAAGUGCAACGUUGCGCAUAUUGAGUACUGUAGGUUUCCUAAUUCUAACCCUGUCUGACCAAUACUCAAGUAGUGCUAUUUAAAAUUAGGUAGCGACAAUUUUUCCAACAGAAAAAGGACAACAACAAGAUCUUAUAAUGCAAAUGUUAAUCAUUGUAACAAAUCGAUUUGUAAUGAAAUCGAAAUAAGCUUUCAAGGGAGAGAUAAUACAAAUAUUAGGAAAUGGAUCAUGUAAUAAUAUUCUCCAAAGUUGACAAAUGUUUGAAUAGGUGAAGAAUGUGAUAGCGAACGAUUUCGUUGUUUUCAAUACCGUGCGAUAUAAGGAUUCUGAUAAUUUUUCAACGCAACAGCAAUUCAUAUCGUUCCCCUUAUGGUACUGAUUUGAGCUGUUUAGAUAUAAUGAGAAUCUGGUCAGUUAUUUGUGAGCGAUCCUCUUCGCAUAUUUUUUGGCGAAACGAGUAAGGAACUUAUCAGGAUGCACGCUCCUCAAUAAUCUCCUGAUAUUAAUUUUCUGCUUUUUUGCGAGUAUCACACCUCAUUCCCUUUUUUCGAAAUAAACGAUGUUUAACGCCUCGUC